CCUACGGGUGGCAGCAGUGAGGAAUAUUGGUCAAUGGUCGGGAGCCUGAACCAGCCAAGUAGCGUGAGGGAUGACUGCCCAGCGGAUUGUAAACUUCUUUUAUAAGGGAAUAAAGAGAGGCACGUGUGCCUGUUUGCGUGUACCUUAAGAAAAAGCAUCGGCUAACUCCGUGCCAGCAGCCGCGGUAAUACGGAGGAUGCGAGCGUUAUCCGGAUUUAUUGGGUUUAAAGGGAGCGCAGAGGGUUUGUUAAGUCAGUGGUAAAAUUGUGGGGCUCAACCUCAAAUUGCCGUUGAUACUGGGGGUCUUGAGUACAGUAGAGGUAUGCGGAAUGCGUGGUGUAGCGGUGAAAUGCUUAGAUAUCACGCAGAACUCCGAUUGCGAAGGCAGCAUACU
rnacentral:rRNA from 1 species